UACGUAGGUGGCAAGCGUUGUCCGGAUUUACUGGGCGUAAAGAGCGCGCAGGCGGUCGUGCAAGUCGCGUGUGAAAGCCCCCCGGCUCAACUGGGGAGGGUCACGCGAUACUGCUCGACUUGAAGGCAGGAGAGGGAAGUGGAAUUCCCGGUGUAGUGGUGAAAUGCGUAGAUAUCAGGAGGAACACCGAUGGCGAAGGCAGAUCUCUGGGCCGUAACUGACGCUGAGGAGCGAAAGCAUGGGGAGCGAACAGG
rnacentral:rRNA from 1 species